rnacentral:tRNA from 1 species
CGGGGCGUAGCGAAGCCUGGUAUCGCGCUCGCUUUGGGGGCGAGAGAUCCUCGGUUCGAAUCCGGGCACCCCGA